ensembl:lncRNA
UUCUGUCACCCCAACACGGCCUCCCUUGCCGCUGGGCUCUGUGCACAGUCACAGUGCUUGGCUAAACAGGGUGAGGAAGGCACUGGAAAGUCGGCGUAGAAACCUCAGGGCAGAAUUUUAGAGGCAGCUUGAUUUUAAUCUCUCUUAUUUGAAUGACUGCCUUGAAAAAGAAGGCCAUUCUCAUGCUGAGGACGUCCCACCAUGCCCUGAGCUGUCCCAUCUCACAGGAUGCUGCACUCUGUGACUGCAGGCAGACUGCAGACAAGCA